rnacentral:tRNA from 2 species
UCGGGUAUGGUGUAGCGGUAACAUCGGUGACUCUCAUCUUCUAGAUAACUCACCAGCCCGGGGUUCGACUCCCCGUAUCCGAG